rnacentral:rRNA from 1 species
CAGCAGUAGGGAAUAUUGCACAAUGGGCGAAAGCCUGAUGCAGCCAUGCCGCGUGUGUGAAGAAGGCCUUCGGGUUGUAAAGCACUUUCAGCGAGGAGGAAAGGUUGACGGUUAAUACCCGUCAGCUGUGACGUUACUCGCAGAAGAAGCACCGGCUAACUCCGUGCCAGCAGCCGCGGUAAUACGGAGGGUGCGAGCGUUAAUCGGAAUUACUGGGGCGUAAAAGCGCAUGCAGGCGGCCAAGUCAGUCAGAUGUGAAAGCCCCCGGGCUUAACCUGGGAAUUGCAUUUGAAACUGCUUGGCUAGAGUCCUUGAGAGGGGGUAGAAUUUCAGGUGUAGCGGUGAAAUGCGUAGAGAUCUGAAGGAAUACCAGUGGCGAAGGCGGCCCCCUGGCAAGAGACUGACGCUCAGAUGCGAAAGCGUGGGGAGCAAACAGGAUUAGAUACCCUGGUAG